UGUAGGAGUGAGCCUGCUCGCGAUGGCGGUGGGUCAGUCACACUUAUGUCGAAUGUGCCAACGCUAUCGCGAGCAGGCUCACUCCUACA
rnacentral:misc_RNA from 1 species